rnacentral:rRNA from 1 species
CUAUGUUUUUCUAAUUUGAAACUUUUGCUUUGGUCUGCCUUAGAAAUAAGUUGGGCCAAAGGUUUACACCAAACUUCAAUAUUUAUAUUGAAUUGUUAUUUUAAUUAUUUGUCAAUUUGUUGAUUAAAUUCAAAAAUCUUCAAAACUUUCAACAACGGAUCUCUUGGUUCUCGCAUCGAUGAAGAACGCAGCGAAAUGCGAUAAGUAAUAUGAAUUGCAGAUUUUCGUGAAUCAUCGAAUCUUUGAACGCACAUUGCGCCCUUUGGUAUUCCAAAGGGCAUGCCUGUUUGAGCGUCAUUUCUCUCUCAAAUCUUUGGAUUUGGUUUUGAGUGAUACUCUUAGUCAGACUAAGCGUUUGCUUGAAAUGUAUUGGCAUGAGUGGUACUAGAUAGUGCUGAACUGUUUCAAUGUAUUAGGUUUAUCCAACUCGUUGACCAGUAAAGUAUUUGUUUAUUACACAGGCUCGGCCUUACAACAACAAACAAAGUUUGACCUCAAAUCAGGUAGGACUACCCGCUGAACUUAAGCAUAUCAAUAA